UACGUAGGGACCAAGCGUUGUUCGGAUUUACUGGGCGUAAAGGGCGCGUAGGCGGCCUAACAAGUCACUUGUGAAAUCUCCGGGCUUAACUCGGAAUGGCCAAGUGAAACUGUCAGGCUAGAGUGCAGAAGGGGCAAUCGGAAUUCUUGGUGUAGCGGUGAAAUGCGUAGAGAUCAUGAGGAAGACCAGUGGCGAAGGCGGGUCUCUGGACAGUUCCUGACACUGAGACACGAAGGCCAGGGGAGCAAACAGG
rnacentral:rRNA from 1 species